UGGGUUUCUCACAUGCUCUUCAGUGACUGAAGCAGGUGGAAUGCAGCACCUAGAGCCCAGCUUGUCUCUACAUUGUUCACCUUUUUGUGGGCAAGCUGGAGCCAAAAGAACCCCUAAAAAAAGAAUGAUUAUAUUGGGACAU